CCUGAAUGUUGUUAUUGUCACAAGGCUGGCCAGAUCUCUGGCAUCUGCACACUCAGUCUGACCAUUUGGGAAGCCUUCAUGCAAAAGCACAGUCAGCGAGAAUGAGACGAGAGAACCCAUUUCCACAACCAUUUUAAUCUGCGCACCGGUCCCAGACAUAGGGAUUCCUCGUCUCAUCUUGGAAACGUUGCCAGUGGUGGUUCUGAUUUGGAAGCAUGUGUCUGUCCGUCUGAGCCUGUGCCUGCCUCUCUUUCUUCCGGCAGUGCCCUGUACUCCGUGGGGAUGACGGCGGUGGGCCUGGCCAUCCUGUGAAUCAGCUUAAAAUGGCUCGUUUCACGAUUGUGGAUGGGAAGAUGGGGAAAGGAGUCAGCUUCAAAGAUGUGGCAGGAAUGCACGAAGCCAAACUGGAAGUCCGCGAGUUUGUGGAUUAUCUGAAGAGCCCAGAACGCUUCCUCCAGCUUGGCGCCAAGGUCCCAAAAGGCGCACUGCUGCUUGGCCCCCCCGGCUGUGGGAAGACACUGCUAGCCAAGGCGGUGGCCACGGAGGCUCAGGUGCCCUUCCUGGCAAUGGCCGGCCCAGAGUUCGUGGAGGUCAUUGGAGGCCUCGGCGCUGCCCGUGUGCGGAGCCUCUUCAAGGAAGCCCGAGCCCGGGCCCCCUGCAUCGUCUACAUCGAUGAGAUCGACGCAGUGGGCAAGAAGCGCUCCACCA
rnacentral:sRNA from 1 species